GCUUGCUGCCGGGGUGAGAGUGGCGAACGGGUGAGUAAUGCGUGACCGACCUGCCCCAUGCACCGGAAUAGCUCCUGGAAACGGGUGGUAAUGCCGGAUGUUCCACAUGAGCGCAUGCGAGUGUGGGAAAGGCUUUUUGCGGCAUGGGAUGGGGUCGCGUCCUAUCAGCUUGUUGGUGGGGUAACGGCCUACCAAGGCGUUGACGGGUAGCCGGCCUGAGAGGGCGACCGGCCACAUUGGGACUGAGAUACGGCCCAGACUCCUACGGGAGGCAGCAGUGGGGAAUAUUGCACAAUGGGCGCAAGCCUGAUGCAGCGACGCCGCGUGCGGGAUGGAGGCCUUCGGGUUGUAAACCGCUUUUGUUCAAGGGCAAGGCACGGUCUUUGGCCGUGUUGAGUGGAUUGUUCGAAUAAGCACCGGCUAACUACGUGCCAGCAGCCGCGGUAAUACGUAGGGUGCAAGCGUUAUCCGGAUUUAUUGGGCGUAAAGGGCUCGUAGGCGGUUCGUCGCGUCCGGUGUGAAAGUCCAUCGCUUAACGGUGGAUCCGCGCCGGGUACGGGCGGGCUUGAGUGCGGUAGGGGAGACUGGAAUUCCCGGUGUAACGGUGGAAUGUGUAGAUAUCGGGAAGAACACCAAUGGCGAAGGCAGGUCUCUGGGCCGUUACUGACGCUGAGGAGCGAAAGCGUGGGGAGCGAACAGGAUUAGAUACCCUGGUAGUCCACGCCGUAAACGGUGGAUGCUGGAUGUGGGGCCCUUUUUCCGGGUCCUGUGUCGGAGCUAACGCGUUAAGCAUCCCGCCUGGGGAGUACGGCCGCAAGGCUAAAACUCAAAGAAAUUGACGGGGGCCCGCACAAGCGGCGGAGCAUGCGGAUUAAUUCGAUGCAACGCGAAGAACCUUACCUGGGCUUGACAUGUGCCGGACGCCCGCGGAGACGCGGGUUCCCUUCGGGGCCGGUUCACAGGUGGUGCAUGGUCGUCGUCAGCUCGUGUCGUGAGAUGUUGGGUUAAGUCCCGCAACGAGCGCAACCCUCGCCGCGUGUUGCCAGCGGGUCAUGCCGGGAACUCACGUG
rnacentral:rRNA from 1 species